CCUCCUCCGCCGCCGCCGAGGUCUCCUCAGAGCCGCCCUCCCGCCAUCUUCCUCCUCCUCUCCAUAGCCCCGCCCCGCUCCGCCCACUCUACGUCAUCGCCAUGUCCCAGGUCUACCAGAAAGGCCAGUAACAACACCUGGACUCCAACCAGGACUGGUGCAGUACCAACUGGACUUGACAAGUGUGACUCCAAAGGCUCACAGAAGACGCAUGAAGGUUUGAAGAAACUUCACUGUGAAACUAACAGAUCAAAUUGUACCAUUUCAAUUUUCAAGGGUUACAGAAUGUUCCCACUCAGUUUUAAUUUUGGAGUGAAACAAGAAACUAAAGAAAAAUGAGCUAAUAUAAAAAUCUAGAGUUGGAACUAUCUUUCAUAGAUAAACAUGCUCUAAUUUUCAUUUCUCCCUCCUCACUUGCACCUCCCCACCUACUUGGUUAACAGUCAUCCUGGGAGUGAAGGUUUCCCUCCAGGGUCACCUGCUCUUCCCUGCCUCCCAGCUCCCCUCCCACCCACUA